CGACCAUCCAGAGCAGUUGAGAGACCUGGCUCGACGACGCUGCAGCAACCCCCUGAGAGGGUGAGGGUGCUUCCGCCAGGACCGAUGGAGG
rnacentral:ncRNA from 1 species